CGGAUCGGAGUCUGNAACCCGACUCCGUGAAGCUGGAUUCGCUAGUAAUCGCGCAUCAGCCAUGGCGCGGUGAAUACGUUCCCGGGCCUUGUACACACCGCCCGUCAAGCCAUGGGAGCCGGGGGUGCUUGAAGUGCGUCGCCGUGAGGCGCGCCCUAGAGCAAAACCGGUGACUGGGGCUAAGUCGUAACAAGGUACC
rnacentral:rRNA from 1 species